CUAGAACAGUGUUUUUCAAACCCUGUGCCGUGGCACACCAGUGUGACACUAGACAUUGUCAGGUGUGUCGCGGGAAAAUAGCCAUUUGGUAUGCCUGUGCGGUCUGUCACCCAUAAAGUAAUCAUGUAGUACCAUCUCAUACCGCUAGGGAGCAGCAACAGCUAGCCAAUUGACUUGCCUUUAACCGACAGACAAGCGAAUUUGUGACGCAUUAAUGCAGGGUGAUGGUGAAAAAUAAAAAUGAAAGAUUAUAAAAUAUUUUUUUCUUUGUGUUCAUUUGAUUCAAAUUCAAGCUGUUUAACGCCAUUCUUAGAUGUUAAAAACGGUUAUAGUAACAAUAUAACACGUUAAUUAUUUAAAUAAGCGGUGUUUUUCACAUUUACGGCUAGUGGUGUGCCGCAAGAUUUUUUUCAAUAAAGGAAGUGUGCCUUGACUUAAAAAAAGUUUGAAAAACACUGCUCGAGAACAGUGUGCCUCGAUCUAUAUUGACUGGUGACCAAUCCAAGGUAUACCCACCUAGGAUAGGAUCCAUUCCCAGAUGACGAUAAGUGGUAUAGAAAAUGGAUGGAAAGCUAGCUAUAGCUAUACAGUACUGUACACUACAAAGCUCCUUGGAAAAAACUCCGCCAACCGCCACUGGGUGUCACUGUUUAUCGUAGAGCGCAAUCUAACUGUUGUUUUUCACAAGUUUCACAAGUUACAAAGAUUAGUGUCCCUCUACCUGCACAUUUGUGUCAAGAUCACAAAUGUGAACAUGCUAUGUAUUGUGUAUGCAGUCGUAUAGUUCUCAUGAAACAAUUCCUUCUGUUUUUAAAAUACUAUUAACUCGUAUUCUACCAGCAUUAUGGAAUGAUGACCAAAGAAAUCUAGCAAUUUAGCACAUCUCACCAAUCACCAGUAAUGUAAAGCAUACAGCCUACAAUCCAUAAAUAUGGUGAAAGGCUUAAAUUAAUAUUUAGGUUACAUAGUAAGAACAAAGACAAAACGGGGGUAAAUGGAGAUGACCCAGAAAGCGUGUGUGAUUUGUUCUGCGUAAUAAAUUGGACAGGAACCUUUGAACACUACCAGACUGCCUUUUUCCAGUUACCUAAACCAGAUAAGACCAUAUUUAAACAGUAACCCCAUUUGUAAUCAAUGACCAACUUCAUUGCCAGCAUACGUGACAAAGUAAGACCAUAGAUCAGUGGAAAGAAUUUUUGAGAAAUAAAGAGAAAUCAUAACC